UGUGUCCUCUUCUGUGAGCAUCCACAGU
rnacentral:piRNA from 1 species